rnacentral:rRNA from 1 species
GAUGAACGCUAGCGACAGGCUUAACACAUGCAAGUCGAGGGGCAGCACAGGUAGCACUCCCGGGUGGCGACCGUCGCACGGGUGAGUAACGCGUAUGCAACUUACCUAUCAGAGGGGGAUAACCCGGCGAAAGUCGUACUAAUACCGCAUGAAGCAGAGGUCCCGCUUGGGGAUAUUUGCUAAAGAUUCAUCGCUGAUAGAUAGGCAUGCGUUCCAUUGGGCAGUUGGCGAGGUAACGGCCCCCCAAACCGACGAUGGAUAGGGGUUCUGAGAGGAAGGUCCCUCACAUUGGUAAUGAGACACGGACCAAAAGCGGACGGGAGGCAGCAGAGAGGAAUAUUGGUCAAUGGUCGAGAAGCAGAACAAGCCAAGUCGCGUGAGAAAUGAAGGAUCUGAAGAUCGUAAACCUCUUGUAUAAGGGGAUAAAGAGCGGGAUGUGUCGCGUUUUGUAUGUACCUUAUGAAUAAGGAUCGGAUAACUCCGUG